rnacentral:rRNA from 1 species
ACUCCUACGGGAGGCAGCAGUGGGGAAUUUUGGACAAUGGGCGCAAGCCUGAUCCAGCAAUGCCGCGUGAGUGAAGAAGGCCUUCGGGUUGUAAAGCUCUUUUGUCAGGGAAGAAACGGUUGUUCCUAAUACGGAUGGCUAAUGACGGUACCUGAAGAAUAAGCACCGGCUAACUACGUGCCAGCAGCCGCGGUAAUACGUAGGGUGCAAGCGUUAAUCGGAAUUACUGGGCGUAAAGCGUGCGCAGGCGGUUAUAUAAGACAGAGGUGAAAUCCCCGGGCUCAACCUGGGAACUGCCUUUGUGACUGUAUGGCUAGAGUGUGUCAGAGGGGGGUAGAAUUCCACGUGUAGCAGUGAAAUGCGUAGAUAUGUGGAGGAAUACCGAUGGCGAAGGCAGCCCCCUGGGAUAACACUGACGCUCAUGCACGAAAGCGUGGGGAGCAAACAGGAUUAGAUACCCUGGUAGUCCACGCCCUAAACGAUGUCUACUAGUUGUCGGGACUUAAUUGUCUUGGUAACGCAGCUAACGCGUGAAGUAGACCGCCUGGGGAGUACGGUCGCAAGAUUAAAACUCAAAGGAAUUGACGGGGACCCGCACAAGC